GUAUGUCGUGUGGCAUUCCCCGUUCCUUGACUACUAUCAGCUCUAAGUUUAUGGCCACAUUUUUUACAAGCCGCCAUUACAUACCCACUCUCAUUCACUCCAGGUAAAGUAUUAUAAUGAUCCCACGCUUUAGAUACAAAAGUACGAGUUCGUUUAGUGGAACUUUUACCUGUUGAGGUUUGGUCUUCGGCAUUACCUUCCAUAUCAACAUCUAUGAGAUCGUUUUCCGAAAGAUCCACAACGUCCUCCAUCUGAAAAUUCAGAAACAAAAAUAAAAAAAAUGCAACUUAAUACAUGUAUUAAUAAUGUUUGUCAAAUGAAAAUCAGUGACCAAAAUAAGCAUCACAUAAGCGUAUUGCUCAAAUGCCGCAAAUUGAAUAUGGCAUGAAGGAUGAAGAACUCAAUUGAAUUUAAACUAUGAAAACUAUAAUCGUCGAUUAAGCCCAGCCAAAUCUACAAAUGGGCUUAAUCGACGUUUUUCAAAGAGAGAUCACCAGAAAAUUUGAUUCAACUAAAAAUCAAUGGUCUUAAUGGAACUAGUUCUAUAAAUGAAAAAAAAAAGAAUGGAUUCUCAAUGAAGAUCUGUAAUGGGUUUUUGACAGAAAGAACAAAAACACUCUUGUAGUAUGAAAUGAAUCAAAACAACACACUUUAUGGACAAAAUUUCAAAUACCCUUUUUUAAUGAAGGUUGUGUGGUUAAAUUAGGUACAACUAACAGAGAAAUAUAUAUACUAGAAAAUGACAAAAAACAAUGGUGAAUUGGUGAUUGUGGUAUGGUGGAGUGAUAGAUUGAAUAAUUGAUGAAGACAAUGAUAAAACUGAAGUGGGGUUAAAUUCUUUCUUCUUCCCACCUUCUCAGUGCAUCAAUUCCUUCACCACACUAUCAAAUUAAAUUUAGUCAAAAAAAAUAACUAUGUGAUUAAAUAAAAAUCAAAUUAAAAAGUUGGUUUACCACUUUACCUUUUUAACAACAGGUCAACAGUAAACGAAGAAGAAGCUGAUGAGAACAGCGAGUGAAGUACUGAAGAAGGAGAAGAACCAGGUGAGUGAAGACGCAAAGAAUAGGU
rnacentral:lncRNA from 1 species